UACGUGGGGGGCAAGCGUUGUUCGGAAUUACUGGGCGUAAAGGGUUCGUAGGUGGCCUGCUAAGUCAGACGUGAAAUCCCUCAGCUUAACUGGGGAACUGCGUCUGAGACUGGUGGGCUUGAGUGCAGGAGAGGAACGCGGAAUUCCAGGUGUAGCGGUGAAAUGCGUAGAUAUCUGGAGGAACACCGGUGGCGAAGGCGGCGUUCUGGACUGCUACUGACACUGAGGAACGAAAGCCAGGGGAGCAAACGGG
rnacentral:rRNA from 1 species